CGGAGGAUCCAAGCGUUAUCCGGAAUCAUUGGGUUUAAAGGGUCCGUAGGCGGUCCUGUAAGUCAGUGGUGGAAGCCCAUCGCUCAACGGUGGAACGGCCAUUGAUACUGCAGGACUUGAAUUACUGGGAAGCAACUAGAAUAUGUAGUGUAGCGGUGAAAUGCUUAGAGAUUACAUGGAAUACCAAUUGCGAAGGCAGGUUGCUACCGGUGGAUUGACGCUGAUGGACGAAAGCGUGGGUAGCGAACAGGAUUAGAUACCCUGGUAGUCCACGCCGUAAACGAUGGAUACUAGCUGUUGGGAGCGAUCUCAGUGGCUAAGCGAAAGUGAUAAGUAUCCCACCUGGGGAGUACGAACGCAAGUUUG
rnacentral:rRNA from 1 species